UACGAAGGGGGCUAGCGUUGCUCGGAAUCACUGGGCGUAAAGGGUGCGUAGGCGGGUCUUUUAAGUCAGGGGUGAAAUCCUGGAGCUCAACUCCAGAACUGCCUUGAUACUGAAGAUCUUGAGUUCGGGAGAGGUGAGUGGAACUGCGAGUGUAGAGGUGAAAUUCGUAGAUAUUCGCAAGAACACCAGUGGCGAAGGCGGCUCACUGGCCCGAUACUGACGCUGAGGCACGAAAGCGUGGGGAGCAAACAGGG
rnacentral:rRNA from 1 species